UACGUAGGGUGCAAGCGUUAAUCGGAAUUACUGGGCGUAAAGCGUGCGCAGGCGGUUUUGUAAGUCUGUCGUGAAAUCCCCGGGCUUAACCUGGGAAUGGCGAUGGAGACUGCAAGGCUAGAGUUAGGUAGAGGGUAGUAGAAUUUCUAGUGUAAAGGUGAAAUUUGAUAAAUUUAGAGAGAAUACCAAUGGCGUAGGCAACUACCUAGGCCUUAACUGACACUGAGGUGCGAAGGUAUGGGUAGCAAAUAGG
rnacentral:rRNA from 1 species